rnacentral:rRNA from 1 species
GAUGAACGCUGGCGGUGUGCCUAAUACAUGCAAGUCGAGCGAACAGACGAGGAGCUUACUCCUCUGACGUUAGCGGCGGACGGGUGAGUAACACGUGGAUAACCUACCUAUAAGACUGGGAUAACUUCGGGAAACCGGAGCUAAUACAGGAUAACAUGUUGAACCGCAUGGUUCAACAGUGAAAGACGGUCUUGCUGUCACUUAUAGAUGGAUCCGCGUCGCAUUAGCUAGUUGGUAAGGUAACGGCUUACCAAGGCAACGAUGCGUAGCCGACCUGAGAGGGUGAUCGGCCACACUGGAACUGAGACACGGUCCAGACUCCUACGGGAGGCAGCAGUAGGGAAUCUUCCGCAAUGGGCGAAAGCCUGACGGAGCAACGCCGCGUGAGUGAAGAAGGUCUUCGGAUCGUAAAACUCUGUUAUUAGGGAAGAACAAAUGUGUAAGUAACUAUGCACGUCUUGACGGUACCUAAUCAGAAAGCCACGGCUAACUACGUG